ACGAAAAGACCCCGGGACCUUUACUAUACCUUGGUAUUGGCGUUAGGUGCGGACUGUGUAGCAUAGGCGGGAGGCUUCGAAGCGGGUGCGCCAGCAUCCGUGGAGCCGGAAUGUGAAAUACCGCUCUGUCCUCAUCUGGCCUCUAACCUCGGCCGGUCAUCCCGGCCAGGGACAGUGCCUGGCGGGUAGUUUAACUGGGGCGGUUGCCUCCCAAAGAGUAACGGAGGCGCCCAAGGGUUCCCUCAGCCCGGUUGGCAAUCGGGUGUUGAGUGCAAUCGCACAAGGGAGCUUGACUGCGAGACCGACGGGUCGAGCAGGGACGAAAGUCGGAGAUAGUGAUCCGGUGCCGGCGUACGGACGCGGCAUCGCUCAACGGAUAAAAGGUACCCCGGGGAUAACAGGCUGAUCAUCCCCAAGAGUCCAUAUCGACGGGAUGGUUUGGCACCUCGAUGUCGGCUCGUCGCAUCCUGGGGCUGGAGCAGGUCCCAAGGGUUCGGCCGUUCGCCGAUUAAAGCGGCACGCGAGCUGGGUUCAGAACGUCGUGAGACAGUUUGGUCUCUAUCCUCUGCGCUCGUUGGAAUCUUGAGGAGCCCUGCCCAUAGUACGAGAGGACCUGGGUGGACGAACCUCUGGUAUGCCGGUUGUCGCGCCAGCGGCACGGCCGGUUGGCUACGUUCGGAUGGGAUAACCGCUGAAAGCAUCUAAGCGGGAAGCCCCCUCCAAGAUAAGGAUUCCAUGAAGCCUUGCGGCUUCUGAAGACCCCAUGCAGAACACAUGGUCGAUAGACCGGACGUGGACACCCCGCAAGGGGCGGAGCCGACCGGCACUAAUGGUCGAGGACAACA
rnacentral:rRNA from 1 species